AUUGAACGCUGGCGGCAGGCCUAACACAUGCAAGUCGAACGGUAGCACAGAGAGCUUGCUCUCGGGUGACGAGUGGCGGACGGGUGAGUAACGUCUGGGAAACUGCCCGAUGGAGGGGGAUAGCUACUGGAAACGGUAGCUAAUACCGCAUAACGUCGCAAGACCAAAGUGGGGGACCUUCGGGCCUCACACCAUCGGAUGUGCCCAGAUGGGAUUAGGUAGUAGGUGGGGUAAUGGCUCACCUAGGCGACGAGCCCUAGCUGGUCUGAGAGGAUGACCACUCACACUGGAAAGGAGACACGGUCCAGACUCCUACGGGAGGCAGCAGUGGGGAAUAUUGAACAAUGGGCGCAAGCCUGAUGCAGCCAUGCCGCGUGUAUGAAGAAGGCCUUCGGGUUGUAAAGUACUUUCAGCGGGGAGGAAGGCGGUGAAGUUAAUAGCUUCACCGAUUGACGUUACCCGCAGAAGAAGCACCGGCUAACUCCGUGCCAGCCGCCGCCGUAACAC
rnacentral:rRNA from 1 species